AAGCAGGGGCAGCCCUCGGAUAAUGCAAGUGACGCAACCCAACAGUGCCCCAAUUUUUUAGGGUCCUUGAAAUUUCUUUACUUAUAUAUUAUAUAUAUUCUAGCGUGCAGUACAUUGAUACCAUUGCGUGUUUGGUGGACUUGGUUUCCAUCACAUGUCCCUUCAAAACAAAACAAAAAAAGUUUGUGCCUUCUUCUUCCUUGUAAAAUUUUAUUUUAUGGUAAGUUUUUUUUUUUUUUUUUUUGUGGUCUGGUAAGUAACCAUCACUGUUCAUCAAGCUCUUUUGUUCAAUCGUUUCACAAAUUUUGUUUUUCUUUUAAUUUCAGGAAUUUCAACACUAAAAAGCGAAAUUUCUAAAUUCAUAAAGACCAUUCAAAAUUUGUGAUUGCCAUGGUUGACAAUGAAUUUUUUUAUAAAAAAAAUUGUUUUAUGAAAUUAAGUUAUGAAAAAUUAUUUUGUUAGUAUUGUCGUAUUGAAUUAUGUGAGGACCUCAGUUUAAAUUUCGUAUAGGGCAUAACGAGUACACACGUUGAUUUUUGCUAGUUUGGCAACCAAAAAGACAUGAAAAUGAAAGGCAGAAAAACAUAUGGAAAUAGAACUCUAUCACCAUAAGUUGUGGUUAAUUAAGCAAUUAUAAGCUUAUAUGGACUCAAAAAGCCAACAAUCU
rnacentral:lncRNA from 1 species